rnacentral:rRNA from 1 species
AUGCACGCUGGCGGCGUGCCUAAUCCAUGCAAGUCGAGCGAACAGACGAGGAGCUUGCUCCUCUGACGUUAGCGGCGGACGGGUGAGUAACACGUGGAUAACCUACCUAUAAGACUGGGAUAACUUCGGGAAACCGGAGCUAAUACCGGAUAAUAUAUUGAACCGCAUGGUUCAAUAGUGAAAGACGGUUUUGCUGUCACUUAUAGAUGGAUCCGCGCCGCAUUAGCUAGUUGGUAAGGUAACGGCUUACCAAGGCAACGAUGCGUAGCCGACCUGAGGGGGUGAUCCGCCACACUGGAACUGAGACACGGUCCAGACUCCUACGGGAGGCAGCAGUAGGGAAUCUUCCGCAAUGGGCGAAAGCCUGACGGAGCAACGCCGCGUGAGUGAUGAAGGUCUUCGGAUCGUAAAACUCUGUUAUUAGGGAAGAACAAAUGUGUAAGUAACUAUGCACGUCUUGACGGUACCUAAUCAGAAAGCCACGGCUAACUACGUG